rnacentral:rRNA from 1 species
GACGAACGCUGGCGGCGUGCUUAACACAUGCAAGUCGAACGGAAAGGCCCUGCUUUUGUGGGGUGCUCGAGUGGCGAACGGGUGAGUAACACGUGAGUAACCUGCCCUUGACUUUGGGAUAACUUCAGGAAACUGGGGCUAAUACCGGAUAGGAGCUCCUGCUGCAUGGUGGGGGUUGGAAAGUUUCGGCGGUUGGGGAUGGACUCGCGGCUUAUCAGCUUGUUGGUGGGGUAGUGGCUUACCAAGGCUUUGACGGGUAGCCGGCAUGGGAGGGUGACCGGGGACAUGAGGACUGAGAGACGGCGCAGACUCCAACAGGAGGCAGCAGGGGGGAAUAUGGUACAAUGGGCGGACGCCUGAUGCAGCGUCGCCGGGUGCGGGAAGACGGUCUUCGGGUAAUAAACAGCAUUAGCCUGUUACGAAGCGUGAGUGACGGUAAUGAGUAAAGAAGCACCGGCUAACUACGUG